rnacentral:tRNA from 1 species
GGAAGAUGCGCGUGUCCGGUGAUGCGGCUGGACUUCAAAUCCAGGCGGGGGCGUAAAAGCCCCCGGAGGGUUCGACUCCCUUCAUCUUCCGCCA